UCGGGAUUUCCAUGGAUGAGGAAACGCUGGCUUUCAUAAGACGCUACUAAAGCUAGAGAUAAUCAUAUUCAUGUGAGACACAGCAACAGCAGUAAUGUUACACACACACACACACACAUGCUCUAAUAACCGUCCCUGAUAUCUUAUGACUUGCUGCUGGAUCGAUUUCUGAUCAAGUGUGAAAUCAGUUUCUUCAAAGGAACAGACAUACGUCUGUUGGCUGGCGCCUCAGCAACAAACCCGAUUGAAUCUUUAUUCAGACGGAGAUGCUUUCUGGUUUUCGUGUGUAAAGCCUACCUGACGAUGACGUGUGCGUGUCCCUGUUGGCUGCAGGCUCCCUGUGUAUUUGUUUGCUCCCGCUGACUGAGGCCUGGGGGCGGAAACGUGCAGUUACACAACAGAAAUUUACAAAAGUUCUUGCCUUGUGAUCUUUGAUUCCUGGACAGGAAAAGUUCACCUUUAAUUUAAUUUCACCUUCAAACCAGAAGGUGGCAGCACUGGACUCUGACUGACUGUUUCUGGGCUACAUAGUGGAAACUUGACAGCAAUAUUUGACCACAUAUACACUUUGCUCAUUACCUGGAUCAGCCGCAGCGCUUUGCUCCAUCUGUGAUUUAAUGUGUUCAUCAGCUUCUGCACCGUUCGUGUUCAAAACAUAACUGUUGCCAUUAAGGUCCGGAUGUGCAGGUCUGGUACGAUCAUUGUCCGCACACAAAGACGUGCUCUCUGCCUUCACAGCUGCAGGUGUUUCAUUCACAUUCAGGUGUUCAUGAGGUUUAAACCCGUCGUGAUGUGUAACUGGCGUCUCUGUGUUUCUGUUUUUGUGAAAGGCACUCUUCUCUGUGACCACUUGCACUUCAUUAAGGUGUUUUUUCAUUGCAGGAUUCGUGCUGGUAGAGUUGCAUUCAAGGGAAGAUGCAGGCAGAGCUCGUGCUCCUGCAGGUGUUGCUGCGUCUUCAGAGGAUUUCUUAUCUUUCUCUGUACUGUUUGUCCGUCUUAUGUGAUGCAGUUGAUCCACACAAAGCUUGUACUGCUCGUAAACAGUCAGGUUUGAUGGAAUUGUUAAAUGAGAGGUGGACGUGGGUUUUGGUGGUUUUGCCGCCUGGUCGAGAUUAUUAUUUGUCUCCGCAUCAGAAGCAGAGCUGCGUGUUUUGCACAUCUUCCCAUUUAGAGCCUGAGUUUCUCUGUUUUCAGUCCAAGUUACAUCAUUGUCUCUGUGCUGAACAUCGGAGCCGCUGCUGAGGAAGCUGUGAGCCCAGUCCAACGCCACCCUCAGCUUCUGCUGCUCGCUGACGGGCGAGUCGCUGAGAGAGAGGAGGUUCAGCACCUGGUGGAUGCUUUGCCUACAGUUCCCAGCAUCCUCCAGGAGUCCAGACGCAGCUCGUGUACAGGUUGUGGUACGAUGCGUCUCCUCGGUUGUAGUUGACGCCUGAGAAGCGCUCUGUGACGCCAUUGACCAACAUUUACCUGCUGCUCGUGCUCCACAAUGUGAGAGAUGAACCACGCUGGGCUUCAGUCACACACAGCGGCAGUUUGCCUCCUGUUCUGAAGUAAAGACAAAUCUCAUAUGAACUCAAGAGGAAUCAUCACACUAUGUGAUUAAAACAUGUACUUGUAUUAACUUGUGCCUUAAAAACAACAGCUUCAGUUUAGGUGAAUCACAGAUCGUUCUUACCCUGUUCUGUCUUCAGGUGUCUUGAGUGGGAUCCAGAGGCGUUCAUGUGCUGUGUACAUGUACGUGUACUGUAUUGACUACUUACACCCGACCAUAUGAUAACACCACCGCCGCAAAGGUGUGAACUCUGCCUGUAACCCAGAGGUAUUGGGUUGCUCAACAAACAUCACCAUAGAGAUGCCAACAGAGUGCAGUGAGUCGACCGCACCAGGAGAGACAAAGCCUUUGCACAGUUUAAUGAGAAGGUUCAUGUUCAAAAACAACUUACACAAACAUUUUACCUUGUAUUCAUCAUAAUACGGGGGAGCAAAUAAACCUAAACACAGAACAGUUUGGUGAAACAGAAAAAUGGUGGAUAAUGGAUCAAUAAUGGUGAAAUGAACAAAAUUCCUGUACUGUAACCCUUUGUUUU